rnacentral:ncRNA from 2 species
UCGUUAUCACGAAAGCGGGAGGGAAUAGACCCUAUGAUCGCUUAGCAACCCUACACUUGUAGAAGGUGCUGCAUUCUACCUUUUCAAUUGAUUUUUUUUCAGAAAAGGCAAGAUAACCA